UAGGGAAUCUUCCGCAAUGGACGCAAGUCUGACGGAGCAACGCCGCGUGAGUGAAGAAGGAUUUCGGUUCGUAAAACUCUGUUGUUAGAGAAGAACAGCGCAUAGAGUAACUGUUAUGCGUGUGACGGUAUCUAACCAGAAAGCCACGGCUAACUACGUGCCAGCAGCCGCGGUAAUACGUAGGUGGCAAGCGUUGUCCGGAUUUAUUGGGCGUAAAGCGAGCGCAGGCGGUUAGAUAAGUCUGAAGUUAAAGGCAGUGGCUCAACCAUUGUAGGCUUUGGAAACUGUUUAACUUGAGUGCAGAAGGGGAGAGUGGAAUUCCAUGUGUAACGGUGAAAUGCGUAGAUAUAUGGAGGAACACCGGUGGCGAAAGCGGCUCUCUUGUCUGUAACUGACGCUGAGGCUCGAAAGCGUGGGGAGCGAACAGG
rnacentral:rRNA from 1 species